rnacentral:ribozyme from 1 species
GCUGCUCUGAUAAUCACACACCUCUCCGUGGUGAGCAGCAGGCAACGAUCUUAUGGUCGACUGAGAUGUGA